CUGAAACAUCUAAGUACCCGGAGGAAGAGAAAGCAAAUGCGAUUCCCUGAGUAGCGGCGAGCGAAACGGGAACAGCCCAAACCAAGAGGCUUGCCUCUUGGGGUUGUAGGACACUCUGUACGGAGUUGCAAAAGAACGAGGUAGAUGAAGAGGUCUGGAAAGGCCCGCCAUAGGAGGUAACAGCCCUGUAGUCAAACUUCGUUCUCUCCUGAGUGGAUCCUGAGUACGGCGGAACACGUGAAAUUCCGUCGGAAUCCGGGAGGACCAUCUCCCAAGGCUAAAUACUCCCUAGUGACCGAUAGUGAACCAGUACCGUGAGG
rnacentral:rRNA from 1 species